ensembl:lincRNA Gm11755 predicted gene 11755
GCCAUAUGAUGACACCAUCAAACUUGACCUCUUCCUGUCCCUGCAGGAGUCAAUUGAUGCAGAGUCCUGCCUGGCUCGGGCUCAGCCUUCGCCUGGGCCUUUGGUGGAUGAACCCUGGAGAGGGAAGACUGGGCUUCUGGGCCUGAAGAGUUCCAUGGCAGACACCUCCUUCUCAUAGCCACCAGUGAGCCCCUCCUAAGUCCCCUGGUGCACAGGCAGCUGGAUGUGACCGUGAAUAAGAGCCAUUGAUUAGUCUGUCACACGAAGACACUACCAGCAGCAUCCCAGCCAGCAGGGAAGAGGAACAGUUCUGCUGUCCCCAAAGCCCAAAGGAGCCCAGCAGAUCACAGACGUGGCCAGGGGUAUGCACUGGCUCAGGGGAGCUGUGUGGCCUCAAGGACGUUACCUCCCAUCUCUGAUCCUGUAAGAUGUGGUUAAAAAAACCGAUGUCUCGGGGUCGUGUAGGGCUUAACAGGGUGAAGGACAGUGAAGAAUGGAGGUGCACUGCUGUGCUUGGCGGCCCACACCCAACUGCUCAGGAGGCUGAGGCAGGACAAAGCCUUAGAGGCCAGCGUCUUGAAGCAGCACAAUGAGAUUCCUCCAGUCUGUCUCAAAUACAUAAAUAGAUGAAUAAAAUGUAAAAUGACCAGCUGCUGGGAGAGGGAAGUGACUGAAGCAUCUCAAGGGCUUCUGGCAGAGGACCUAAGGCAUGAACUACAUCAAGGGUUCUGCCAUUUCCCUGAAGAGCCUCCCUUGGCAAGACGUGAGGACUCACAACAUUGUCCCAGCUCACUUCAGAGAUGCCCGCAGACAACUACCUCAGCAACACGAUUAGCCUCCAGGAUUCUGAAUGGGUUGCUCACCCACCGACUGAUGCAUGCUCAGACCCUC